UGGGGAAUAUUGCACAAUGGGGGAAACCCUGAUGCAGCGACGCCGCGUGAGUGAAGAAGUAUUUCGGUAUGUAAAGCUCUAUCAGCAGGGAAGAGAAUGACGGUACCUGAGUAAGAAGCCCCGGCUAACUACGUGCCAGCAGCCGCGGUAAUACGUAGGGGGCAAGCGUUAUCCGGAUUUACUGGGUGUAAAGGGAGCGUAGACGGCGAAGAAAGUCUGAAGUGAAAGCCCGCGGCUCAACCGCGGAACUGCUUUGGAAACUUUUUUGCUGGAGUACCGGAGAGGUAAGCGGAAUUCCUAGUG
rnacentral:rRNA from 1 species